CAGGCAAUAGCUCAUAGAGCUCCCUCUUCGUAUGCGGGAAGACCUGGGUUCGAUUCCCGGCUGCUUAC
rnacentral:tRNA from 1 species